GACGAACGCUGGCGGCGUGCCUAAUACAUGCAAGUAGAACGCUGAAGGAGGAGCUUGCUUCUCUGGAUGAGUUGCGAACGGGUGAGUAACGCGUAGGUAACCUGCCUGGUAGCGGGGGAUAACUAUUGGAAACGAUAGCUAAUACCGCAUAAGAGUAGAUGUUGCAUGACAUUUGCUUAAAAGGUGCAAUUGCAUCACUACCAGAUGGACCUGCGUUGUAUUAGCUAGUUGGUGGGGUAACGGCUCACCAAGGCGACGAUACAUAGCCGACCUGAGAGGGUGAUCGGCCACACUGGGACUGAGACACGGCCCAGACUCCUACGGGAGGCAGCAGUAGGGAAUCUUCGGCAAUGGACGGAAGUCUGACCGAGCAACGCCGCGUGAGUGAAGAAGGUUUUCGGAUCGUAAAGCUCUGUUGUAAGAGAAGAACGAGUGUGAGAGUGGAAAGU
rnacentral:rRNA from 1 species